GGGGAGAAAGGGGGUGGUCCCUCUCACGGGCUGCAAACCCGCUGGCCUGUCCGUGACCCGGGCGGGAGUCCGGUUCGAUUCCGACUUCUCCCC
rnacentral:tRNA from 1 species